rnacentral:misc_RNA from 1 species
CGCUUGUGCUGAUACGCACACGCAGAGGUAUCUGCAUCUGUAUUCGAUACAUGCACCACUACAUGUGCAUAACUAGUCCGAAGACGUGCUGAGACGCGAAUGGAGACGCAUCGCAUCCAUGAACAUUUUCCAGAGUAGCAGUGUUGGCUUUCGGCAGGGCAGGAGCCUCGUCGAUGAAACCCCCGCCCCAUCGGUGAUGCGAUACCCUAUUCUAGCCCCCGCCCCCGGCGACAGCGACACUCAAACAUCACUGUCGUACGGAAUCGGUGCCAGCGCCGCUGCGAAGCAGUCGACGGACCUUCCAGCCCUUCUGGCGGCUGCGCAGCAGACCCGCCCCAUAGCAGCCAAAUCAGGCCAGAGUACGUUCCCGUCGGUGCCUUACUACGGAAUUCUCAGCCGCUGUGAGGUUCGCAUGGAUGUAUCCGUCGAGCGUAGUGCGCGAGCACCGGGAUGGCCGAUCUCAGACGCGGCAGGGGCGUCUGCUGGGAUGCUGCUGCGCAAUCCGACCACAACGAUGGCCCGCAUGGCGCACAUUCAGCGCCGCCUGUACGACGUCGCCGAGCGCUUUGGCAGCGUAUACCACCUCAGCAACGGCGCAACCCUCUCGGAGAGCGUGACGGCGCCACUGCUGCCGAAUCAAGGCAGUGCUUCGUCAGCUGCCUCUUUCCACAGUCAGCUGACUUACGGGGCAUACGUUCAAGCACUGCACGACGCUUUCCGACGCUUCAGUGCGCUGCGGCAGGCAUGCGUUACCAUGGAGAAAGCUGCAUCGGGUGCCCGCGCUGCCACAAUCGGUGAUGACAUGGUUACGCACCACACCUUCUAUGCGCGCCUUCUGGGCCAUCCGUCGUGGAAAGAUCUCAGCGCUCUGCUAUGCGUGGAGAAGGGUGGACUGCUUGUCUGCCUCAUUUCCUCUUCUCGGAUAACGCAGAAGCACUUGACGGCGGCUUGCGCCGAUGCUGGGGUGAGCUUGGAUUGGCUUGGCGGGGCAGCACUCGUGGCGGAGCCGCUUCAGCUGAUUCCUGGAGAUGUUAACCCAGUAUGGGUGGUGUGGGAUGCGUUGGUGAACCUACCGCUACUCCUGCCGUCCUCAAUCAACCGAGAAGGGAACAAGGAGGGGCUCACUAGUGGUGCUGACGACGCCGCGGAUACCCUCGACAGCGUUUCGGCAGGGGCGCGUGAGGUGCUGAACAGGGUGACGCAAACUGGCUCGACUCUCUCUGGCUUUCACAUCUCGCUCAUCUCGUCGAUGCCCUUCCAAGGCUCUACGCGCUUCCACCAAGUUGGCCGGAUUGCCGAUGAGGCACCUGUGCUUGCUCAGGAAGACCACCCUCCGUCGUCAUCUCUGUCGGCGACGGCGGUGGCGAGGCAACCGACGCGCGAAGCCGUCGUCGCCUGCCGCUACAUCUGGCGCCUCAUUCCCUCACCGCCAUCUUGCUUCACCGUUGCCCCAAAGUCCUCGUCUGCAUCAGCGUUGUCGUUGUCGUGUUGUGCGGUUCUGCCCUUCUUCAUGUCGAAGCUGCUCCAAUGCCUCGUAGAGGAGUGCGGGCUCAUCGCCUUCGCGGUGCACUGCGGCGGCCCGGCGGAGCUGACCACGCAUCUUGGCGCCCCGUCAGUGUCGACCGGAUCUACAGCUUCAGGUGCAGUUGGGGUGCGGCUGGUGCACAGCAACGCGCCAUCACUGCUCACGCUGCAACAGGGACCCAGCUCCUCCUCGUGCCUUGCGUUCAGCCGUCUGAGCGGCGCUUUCUGGGUCGAUGCUGAGACGCGCGAGAGUCUGAGCCUCGGUGGACUCACCGCUGCGUUUGGCGAGCCCGACAAGGAUGUCAUGGGGGACGAAGAGGAGGACACCGAGAUGGAGUUCGAGGUCGUGUCGAUCCGCUACGAGCGGCGCGGCGAGCUGAAGACGAUGGAGAAAGAGCCCAACAAGGUGAGCGUCUGUGCCACCGCCGCCGCUGUCGAGAGCAGCGGUAGCUGCCCGGUCAAGCGCGCCCGUUUCGAUGCCGCUGACAUCUACGAAGAGGACCACGACGAUGCCUUUGUACGCCCGGCGCAGUGGGGGCCAUCGUUUGCCUUUACUGUGUCGGUGAAGCGACUCAUCGCCGUCGAUGAUUGAUGCGUGACGCAGUGGCGUGCCACUCUUCUCCAUUUUUAUGGGGAGGUGAUGUGCGUGGCCUUGCUCGUGAACAUUUGCGUGCUGCGGUUACUGUAUGAUGAUAGUCAGUGUUCUUGGGUGCAUGUGUGGCUGUUUCUCUCUCAGGUGUGCGUGUGUGCGUGCAAGCCUUCUACUCUCGGGUUGCUGCCACUCAAAAAAAAAAAAAGGAUGUCCGCAGCAGCUGAAAGAAGAAGACAGCGCCUCAUC